rnacentral:rRNA from 1 species
AGUGAACGCUGGCGGUAGGCCUAACACAUGCAAGUCGAACGGCAGCACAGUAAGAUCCUGCUCUUACGGGUGGCGAGUGGCGUACGGGCGAGGAAUACAACGGAAUCUACUUUUUCGGGGGGGAUAAGGUAGGGAAACCUACGCUAAUACGGCAUACGACGUACCGGGGAAAGCAGUGGAUCUUCGGACCUGGCGCGAUUGAAUGAGCCGAUGCCGGAUUAGCUAGUGGGCGGGGUAAAGGCCCACCAAGGCGACGAUCCGUAGCUGGUCGGAGAGGAUGAUCCGCCCCCCUGGAACUUGCACACGCUCCAGCCUCCUCCGGAAGACAGCGGUCGCAAAUAUUGGUCAGUGGACGCAAGCCUUAUCCAACCUUACCACGUUGGUUAAGGAGGCCUUGGGGUUGUAAAGCCCUUUUGUUGGGAAAGAAAAGCAGCAGAUUAGAACGACGCUGUUAUGACGGUACCCAGAGGAUAAGCACCGGCUAACUUCGUG